GUGGUGGUGGCGAAAUUGGUAGACGCGCUAGCUUCAGGUGCUAGUGUCCGUUAGGACGUGAGGGUUCAAGUCCCUCCCUCCGCACCA
rnacentral:tRNA from 1 species